rnacentral:rRNA from 1 species
UUUCAAGUGUCUGACUUAUCAACUUUAGACGGUACAUUAUAUGUCUACCGUGGUUGUAACGAGUACAGAGAAUCAGGGUUUGGUUCUGGAGAGGCCGCCUGAGAAACGGCGACCACUUCCAAGGAAGGCAGCAGGCGCGCAAAUUACCCACUCUCAAAACGAGGAGGUAGUGAAGAGAAAUAACGAUGUUAGUCUUUUAUAGGCUGACAAUCGGAAUGGGAACACUGUAAACAGGUUAUCGAUUAACAAUUGGAGGGCAAGUCUGGUGCCAGCAGCCGCGGUAAUUCCAGCUCCAAUAAGGAAAACUAAAGUUGCUGUGUUUAAAAAGCUCGUAGUUGAAUUUCGGGUAUUUGUUGCUAGCUGGUCUAACUGGCCAUGUUGGUUAACAGAUCCUCAUUUGCUGGACGGCUGGCGAUGAUCUUCAUCGAUUGUCGUCAGUUGCCAGCACGUUUACUUGUAGAAAAUUAGAGUGCUAAAAGCAGGCUCACGCCUAUAUAUAUUGCAUGGAAUAAUGAAAUAAG